UUGACCUCGGAUCAGGUAGGAGUUACCCGCUGAACUUAAGCAUAUCAAUAAGCGGAGGAAAAGAAACCAACCGGGAUUGCCUCAGUAACGGCGAGUGAAGCGGCAAGAGCUCAAAUUUGAAAUCUGGCCCCUUUGGGGUCCGAGUUGUAAUUUGCAGAGGAUGCUUCGGGUGCGGUCCCCGUCUAAGUGCCCUGGAACGGGCCGUCAUAGAGGGUGAGAAUCCCGUCUGGGAUGGGCGGCCGCGCCCGUGUGAAGCUCCUUCGACGAGUCGAGUUGUUUGGGAAUGCAGCUCUAAGCGGGUGGUAAAUUUCAUCUAAAGCUAAAUACUGGCCGGAGACCGAUAGCGCACAAGUAGAGUGAUCGAAAGAUGAAAAGCACUUUGAAAAGAGAGUUAAACAGCACGUGAAAUUGUUGAAAGGGAAGCGUUGUCCACCAGACUCGCCCGGGGGGGUUCAGCCGGCACGUGUGCCGGUGUACUCCUCUCCGGGCGGGCCAGCAUCGGUUUGGGCGGCUGGUGAAAGGCCCCGGGAAUGUGCCACCCUUCGGGGUGCCUUAUAGCCCGGGGUG
rnacentral:rRNA from 1 species